rnacentral:sRNA from 1 species
AUAAUAACAAUGGUGGUGCAUUAUUCUAGUCAUAUUAUCUACUAUGAGGGUGGGGCUAAAAAUCCACUAAAGGGCACAUCGAUGAAGUUUCUUGUUUAUGCGCGAAAUGCCAGUUUUGUGUGUAUUCAGGGAGUAAAGAAAUUAGGGGAAUAUAUAAUGGCAUAUAUAGGAUCCCUCAUUUCGCGGAGACUUAAAAGUAGGACUUUUAAGUAUAACCUAUGUUGAGUGCCAAGACACAAAAUACAUAGUGUAGCCUGUCUUGAGUGAUUAUAUUGGGAUUAAUUUUUGUGAAUUGACUAUUUGGGCCAAAAUAUUUAAUUCUUUUGGAUUAUGAAAUUAUGAUUGCAAAAAAGACUAAUAGUAGGGUGUAAUGUGAAAAGGAAAACUUCUAGAAUGUUUGCUUAAACGAUAAGCAUGGAAGUUUAAGGAUUAAGGUACGGAUUUAAGUGGCGAUCUGGUGUCUACAAUUUUGUAGAUGUUCUUUUUAAAUGGAAACAGCCAAGCAGUAAUGUAGGGUAGAGAAUAGAGAAAUUCAACCAGACCUAAACCGUAAAAUUUACUUAAACUUUUACCACCUAUAAAAAUAA